CGAGGCUUAUAGGUUUGUCUGGGUCCUGCUAAGUCUACAGACCUGCGGUUCAAGUCCGUUGAAGCCUCG
rnacentral:tRNA from 1 species